GGUAAUCCAGUAAAUACUCUGGAAACACAUCAGGAUACUCACAAACCACAGACACUUUAAUCUUUGACUUAGACACUUUAGUAUCCAAUACAUAAGCAAGGUAAGUAUUACAACCCUUUCUCACAUAUUUCUGUGCUGACAUAGCUGAUAUCACAUUAGGCAACCCAUCCAAUUUAUCUGAUUCAAUACAAAGCAUUUCACCAUUCUGACAUUUUAAUAAAAUAUGCUUUUGUUUACAAUUUAC
rnacentral:lncRNA from 1 species